rnacentral:rRNA from 1 species
GACGGCAACCAACCCCGAGGUUGGGUAUAGCCGCGGGAAACUGCGGGUAAUCCCCAGCGACGUGACGACGCCGGCAUCGGCGUUUCACCAAAGGCUUCGGCCGCCUUGGGACGGGCCGUCGUGGUAUUAGGUAGUUGGCGGGGUUACGGCCCACCAAGCCUGUGAUGCCUACCGGGCGUGCGAGCGUGGCCCGGCACACUGGGACUGAGACACUGCCCAGACUCUUACGGGAGGCUGCAGUCGAGAAUCUUCGGCAAUGGGCGCAAGCCUGACCGAGCGACGCCGCGUGGAGGAUGAAGGCCUUCGGGUUGUAAACUCCUGUCGAGGGGGAGGAAGGGGCGACCUUGACCGAUCCCUGGAGGAAGCACGGGCUAAGUUCGUGCCAGCAGCCGCGGUAAGACGAACCGUGCGAACGUUAUUCGGAAUCACUGGGCUUAAAGCGCGUGUAGGCGGACGGGUGCGUCGGCUUCUGAAAGCCCCCGGCUCAACCGGGGAAGUGGGGCCGAAACGACCCGUCUC